CGCCUGCCCGGUUCUCGUCCCCCCAGCCCCAGAAUCUCUGCCCACGGACUCCAUUUCGUCGCGAUCCGCGUCUGUAUCUCCGGACGCACCCUCCGAUCGCGCCCCGUCGCGUCCCGCCGCAUUUCGACGCGAUAGUUUUUCCACGGGAAGGGAAAGGAGCAACGGCGACUGAGGAGUGUGUCGGCGCGGGGACCCUGGAGGCGUGAAGGGGCUCCUUUGUGGGCUUCUUCUCGCCCCCCCCCAUUUAUAUGAGGGGUUUGUUCUGGGACUGCUUCAAAGAAAAGCAUGUCAAAUUCCUCCUGUUCUCUUGGAUGUAUUAAAAGUUUGGGUUUUCCCGGUACUAAUUUUGGGGUUUCUGACGAGGCUUCUGUUGGACCUUGAGAUACCUGUGUUCUUCCCCCUCGCCUUCCCAUUCCCGUGGGGGAGGUAUCGACCUUGGAGUUAGCAUGGCUCUCUGUCCUGGCUCUGUGCUAUACUCUCUUUGUUUGCCUGGCUGCUGUCCAAACUUGCAGUUCUCUCUGCUAUAUUCUGUUAUAACUUCUAACAUAAUUCUCCCCACUGAUAAAAGCUUUGCGGGUAUUUUUUGCUUUCGUGUGGCUUUAUCAUAAAGAUUUCUGUUUACUUCUUGCCAAAAACCUGGCUCAAAAAGAGACUGGGUCUCACAUUGUGAAUAAUUACAUUUGACCCAUAACAUCAGGGCUUCGAGCUCUUUAUCUUUCAGCGCUGCAUUAUAUUUUGAUAUCAAUUCUUUUAUAUUUUCUAAUAUUAUUGUUCUCUCUUGGGAACUAGUUCCCCCCAUCGCGCGGUGUGUUCUGAAUUUCACAGAUCUUACCAAAGUGAAACUUUCCCCAGCUGUGGUCCGAUUCGUCUCAGAGGUGUCCCGAUCUCCGUCCAGCAGAUCUCAGAGUGACGGGUUCCUAGGCCCAGUGGAAAACCGUCGUCUGGAACGAACUGGAGUGAGCUGGUGUUCUGGCCAGACAGGAAUGCCAGCCAGGAAAGUCAGAUGUCGUGCACCCAGACAUGCCAGGUGUUUCUGCACACUCAGGGACGGUAGAUGUUUCUUCUCACUGAGGGACGCCAGAUGUUUCUGUCCAGUCAGGGACGCCAGUUGUCGGGGGCUUUCCCCGGCAUUCAGGUGGUUUCAGGGUCCUUUGCUCCCCUGCGCAGCUCUGAGCCAAGCCGAAGGAAGAGACGGAGUUCUCAGGUUUAGAUUUUCAAGUGUUGUAUAAUUUGUUUAUUGUUUCUUAUCUUACAAUUUUCUCGGAGUCCGACAAGAUGUUCGCAGAUGCAUGGACUCCUCACGUCUCCCCCCGAGCUGGGUUGUCCUUAUCUUUUAUACUAAUUGCUACGUAUUUCUUGUUUACUAUUUCUUACCAAUGUCUAUCACUAUUACUGAAAAGGUCAUCUUUACUUUGACCCAAUCCUCACUAACUACUUUGUGCCACGUCACUGCAGCAAUGGAGAGAGGGAAGGAGAAGGAGAAGAAGAAGGAGACAGCGCCCCAGAUUCUCCAUCUUGUCCCCAUUCACUUCAAAGCUAGGAACCUAAAAUUACGAUUUUCUCACCCUGUGAUAAGCUAAACUACUAUUUUUUCACAUUCUUGCGGCCUGUAAACCUUCUCUUAGUAUAGGAAGUUUUUCCCAAGGACUGAAAUAAAAGCCAGUACCUCUCUGAGCUCUGGGCUGGGGUCCCAGACCCCCCUGCCAAGGUCCAUGACCCUCCAGGGCAACCAAAGGAAUACCCCGGACUCCAACAUCAAGGCAGGAAGAAAUGUAAAUUCAGAGACAGGAGAGCAAUUGAAGAAACAAAAUGAAAAAAAAGAGAAAAGGAAAAAGGAUAAAUUUCAAAACCAUGCGAAAUCAAUGAUAGUGAAUGGGAUGACAAGAAGUGCAGGGAAAUGGAGCAAAGCUUGCAAGUUUAAUCCUCAUUGAAAUUGCAAGAAUUCAUUCCCUUUGCUGAAAGUAAGGCUUUCCUUUCACCAAAGGGAAUGAAAUCAGGAACUCACAGAACCAAGUCUACCAAAUGCUCUGGAAAGGUGAUAUGAUCAAAAAAGUGUGGAAUGAAAAAAACUCCAGAAAUUAUGGAAAUGGAGGGAUCAGAGCCAAGAGGACUGAGAUGAAAUGAGGGCCAUUGAAAAAGUCCAUAGCUUGCUCAAAUUACUCCAAAUCCAAUCCUUAAAGGCAGGAAGAAAUGUAAAUUCAGAGAAAGUAGAGCAACUGAAGAAACAAAAUGUGAAAAAAAAAAAAAGGAAAAAUUUCAAAACGAUGUGAAAACAAUGAUAGUGAAAGGGAUGACAAGAAGUGCAGGGAAAAAAAGCAAUGCUUGCAAGUUUAAUCCUCAUUGAAAUAGCACUAUUACAUUCCCUUUGGUGAAAGUAAGGCUUUCCUUUCACCAAAGGGAAUGAAAUCAGGAACUCACAGAUCCAAGUCUAACAAAUGCUCUGGAAAGGAGAUAUGAUCAAAAAGAGUGGAAUGAAAAAACUGCAGAAAUUUUGGAAAUGGAGGGAUCAGAGCCAAGACAACUGAGAUGAAAUGAGGGCCAUUUAAAAAGAGCAUAACUUGCUCAAAUUACUCCAAUUCCUGCCCUUAAAGGCGGGAAGAAAUGUAAAAUCAGAGACAGGAGAGCAAUUGAAGAAGCAAAAUGAAAAAAAGAAAAAGGGAAAAAGGAAAAAUUUCAAAACCAUGUGAAAACAAUGAUAGCGAAUGGGAUGACAAGAAGUGCAUGGAAAAAAAGCAAUUCUUGCAAGUUUAUUCCUCAUCGAAAUUGCAAGAAUUCACUCCCUUUGCUGAAAGAAAGGCUUUCCUUUCAUGAAAGGGAAUGAAAUCUGGAACUCACAGAACCAAGUCUAACAAAUGCUCUGGAAAGGAGAUAUGAUCAAAAAGAAAUUAAUGGGAAAACAUCCAGAAUUCAUGGAAAUGGAGGGAUCAGAGCCAAGAGGACUGAUGAAAUGAGGGCCAGUGAAAAAGACCAUAACUUGCUCAAAUUACUCCAAAUCCAAUCCUUAAAGGCGGCAGGAAAUGUAAAUUCAGAGACAGGAGGGCAAUUGAAUAAACAAAAUGAAAAAAAAGAAAAAAGGGAAAGGGAAAAAUUUUAAAACCAUUUGAAAACAAUGAUAGUGUAUGGGAUGACAAGAAUGCAGGGAGAUGGAGCAUUUCUUGCCAGUUUAAUCCGCACUGAAAUUGAAAGGUUACUAUCCUUUUGGUGAAAGUAAGGCUUUCCUUUCUCCAAAGGGAAUAAAAUCUGGAACUCACAGAUCCAAGUCUAACAAAGGCUCUGGAAAGGAGAUAUGAUCAAAAAGAGUGGAAUGGAAAAAUUUCCAGAAAUUUUGGAAAUGGAGGUAUCACAGCCUAAGAGGUCUCAGAUGAAAUGAGGGCCAGUGAAAAAGACCAUAACUUGCUCAAAUUACUCAUAAUUCCAAUCCUUAAACACGGGAAGAAAUGUAAAUUGAUAGACAAAGUACGAAUAUGACGAAACAAAAUGUGAAAAAAAAAAAAAGGAAAAAUUUCAAAACCAUGUGAAAACAGUGAUAGUGAAUGGGAUGACAAGAAGUGCAGGGAAAUGGAGCAAAGCUUGCCAGUUUAAUCAUCAUUGAAAUUGCAAGACUUCAUUCCCUUUGCUGGAAGUAAGGCUUUCCUUUAAUGAAAGGGAAUGAAAUCUUGAACUCUCAGAACCAAGUCUACCAAAUGCUCUGGAAGGGAGAUAUGAUCAAAAGGAGUUGUAGUGGUGUGAGAGUUGUUUCAUUAAUUUAUUAAGUUAUUUUUGCAAGGUUUUUGAGGUAUUUUUCUAAUGGUUUAGUCCACUGUACCCCCCUGUGUUUUGGAAUAGUUUUCCCCUUACGAGUUAGGUAUUUAAGCAGACGUUUUCUUUCAGUCAUUCCUUCCCUGCACCUGUCCCUCUCAGUUCCCCCCCUCUCCUCGUGGUCGCCCUGUCUGUCACUUUUGAGACCGUUCCCUGGAUUCUGGAAAGAUCCAGGAGAGGUGUCGAGUGGUAGGCUGGUGCCCGGGAAAUCCUCUCCUACCCUCCUGUGAUUUGUAAAUGGUUCAAAAGUUGACACCCCUGUUUCCACCCCUGUGUUCCCUGGUUGGCUGACCUGUUGUCAGCCCUCCCCCGUUUAUAAGUAGCUGUCAAGCUUUGAUCUCUGCUCUCUCUGGGCAGCAGUGGUCUGAGGCGGAGCUCUUUGCCAGACUCCCUUUUAUAAACUACCUUCUACCCUGCCUAAAGAGAGACAACUCUUUUUCUCUCGCCGCCGUCGCAACUCCAUCAGGUCCACUCGUGGUGUGGGGAACCAAGAACCUACCUGGAGGAGGUUAUCGCCCUACCUGUAACCCCGACCGAAGCUCAUAGUAGCAGUGCAGAACUGAGCUAGCCUGCACGCCUGCCAGGCAUGAGAGGACACUGCUAUACGGAGUGGUGCCCGAACAAGGGGCACUCCAAGCCAGCAGAGCAGCUUGGACCCACGCGGGACCAGACCCACAGCGACAGUAUUGGCGCCCACCGCACGGUCCCCUAGACAGAGUGGACCGCUUGGCACGGAUUGGGGCUUCGAAGAGCCCGAAGCAGUCCUUGGACAUCGUGCUACCUCUGGUAAGAGCAGUUUCUGUAGAAACUUGCUCCCAGGGGAAGAAGAAGGCAGCUCUGGAGCACCCCCAGAGUCUUCUUCGGCGACAGACUGACAUCUCAAGGCUUUCCAAGUUCCACGGAAGGGGUGAAUAUUGCAAGCGGCACUUGCUUUUGGUGGGCUUCCCCCAGGGGGGGAGACCCAAUUUGGAGGAGUAAUCCUCAGGAAUCCUGAUAAAGGAUUUUGGCUGCGCAGCCUGGAGGCUUGGGGUUUGCCCCAGCUCUCUGUUGGAAACCUUCCGCAGAACCGUCUUUAGUUAAUUUUUGUUAUUUAAUCUUUUAGUUCGGUGCGAAUCGGAUUCACACGGUGGCUGUUUUCCGGGUUUUUGUAGCCACCUGCUUGCCUUUGUGGUUCCCCCGAGUGGGCGGAGAAGAGACCGUGUCUCGGUUUUAGGGAGAAAAAACCACAGUUAAGUUUUAUUUUCGGUUUCAGUUUGCCUGGCUGUUAGUUUGGGAACGACAUAUAUCGGGAUAGAUGGGUGUAAAACUCUCUGUCGUUCAAAAGAGUGUGUAUUAUACUUUAAUUUCAGUUGCACAGAGUGCUGAGUUAAAAGUUUCAAAAAGUGAUUUAAAACAUUUUGUUCCUUGGCUCUAUUCGCAUUUUCCGCGGGUGUCCCCCGACCAGAUCGUCAGCGCCGAGUUUUGGGGUGCUGUGAGAAGGAAAAUGACUCAAUUAGCUGCGUCGGGAGACAGAGACAUUUUAAAAUAUUUUAAUUUGGCAGCGCAGCUGUAUUCGGCAGUAAGGUCUCAGAAAGGAAUGCAAAAACCUCCAGAAUGCGAAAAGCCAUCCCCCAGUUCCUCUGUCCCUCUGCCCCAAACCCCUUAUCCCCGGAAAAGUACUCUGAAAGAAGCGGCAGGAGAUCUGCCUGCUAGCUCAGGUUUCCUCAGAAUUUUCCGAUCCCUAAGCCCACGCAGCCAGCAAGAUCUGCGCGGUUCACGUGGCUCUCACCAAGCUGCGUGGGACCUUUCAGGCAGCUCUGGCCAGGCUGCCUGAAAGCCCUUCCCGUUCCCGCGUUUCCCAGUGACUUAUUAAAGAAAUAUGGGUAUAGAUCUAGUAUUGAUACCCAACUGUGACGGACAAAAACUCUCUAACAGUUUAAAGUUAGAAAGUGUAUGUUUAUUACGGCCGGGCAGCACGCAGGAUAUUUCCCUAAUUCGCACUGCGAAAUUCACAGGUAAUUACAAAGUCUUUUAUUUACAAAAGUGUUGAAUAUCCAAAAUACAAAUGCAUAUU